GGGGUCGGAGUUAGAGGUGGAUCAAUUCAAAUUUCAAGCUAGUUCAAGACGGUGAAACCCUCCAUGUGCAGGGCAAAAUAAGUGGAAUUACAUAGCAGGUUGUCAGAACUGGAGUAAGCAAUGUGAGUCAAAUUCUAGCUGAGAAAAUUUUGCUGGUGCUUGGAUUUGGACCAGGAUAUUUAAACCACCUUCUCCUGCAAGCUCCUGCAAGUCCACUGAGGUCACCUUUGUGGGUCCUGCUCCGCAUCCCACCUUUGUCCGAGGUGCAGUUGGUGGGAACACGGCCUUUUCAGCGGUGGCACCUAAAUUACAGAACUCUUUGCCCUGGAGGCUCAUCUUAUAUCCUCUUUGGUGUUUUCACAUCUGGUGAAGACUAUUUCGCCAUGCUUAUGGGCUUGAAUGACUCUUGGCAUUUAAAAAAAUCAAAUGUUUGUUUGUUUGUUUGUUUGUUUGUUUAUACGUUUUAUAUCCCGCUCUUCCUCCAAGGAGCCCAGGGCGGUAUAUUGCAUUAUAUCUAUUUUUGUCUGGUUUUUUGUUUUUUAUAACUUUGUUGUUACGUCUUUUGGGACCAAAAGGCAUAUUAUAAAUAGAUGAUACACAAAAUGUUGAUUUACUUUCAACAGGAUAGAACUUAAUAGACUAUUCAAAAAAUAAUUCUUAAAAAAAUUCUAGGGAUGUUCAUUCUUAAUCCAUCUUAUUUUUAUUUAUUAUUUCUCUGUGUAAACCACUUCGGAAACUUUUUGUUGUUGAAAAGUGGUAUAUAAAUAUUUGUUGUUGUUAAUAAUUAAUAGCACCAACUCCAACUGCAGUCCUCAAUAAGGAUAGCAGAAUGCUAAGAAGUGGACCAAAUGUGAUCCUAAAAAAUUGCUUUGCAGAGUUUCCAAUUAGGACAAGCUACUGUGUGGCUAGAUUUACCAGUUUGCCUUUUAUCCAGUGUGUCUUCUAACAGGGAUUCCCAGAUGUUGCUGACUACAACUCCCAUAAUUCCUAGCCAAAGGCCAUCAU